rnacentral:misc_RNA from 1 species
AACACUGUUAACCUGCGGUACCUGCGGAAGGAUCAUUACGAGAGUGUCACCACUCCCAACCCAUUGUUUACCUACCCGUCCACCGUGCUUCGGCAGGCAGCCCUGUGGGACAGAGCCUCGCCCCCUUUCGCGGGGGGUGCCUGCCGCUUGCCAACCAAAACUCUAGCUGUUUUAGUACCAUCUGAGUCUUCCACAAAUGAACAAAACUUUUAACAACGGAUCUCAGAUCGGAAGAGCACA